rnacentral:rRNA from 1 species
UAAGGAAUCUUUCACAAUGGGCGAAAGCCUGAUGGAGCAACGCCGCGUGCAGGAUGAAGGCCCUCGGGUCGUAAACUGCUUUUAUGAGUGAAGAAUAUGACGGUAACUCAUGAAUAAGCACCGGCUAACUACGUGCCAGCAGCCGCGGUCAUACGUAGGGUGCAAGCAUUAUCCGGAGUGACUGGGCGUAAAGAGUUGCGUAGGCGGUUAGUAAAGCGAAUAGUGAAACCUGGUGGCUGAACCAUACAGACUAUUAUUCGAACUCACUAACUCGAGAGUGGGAGAGGUGACUGGAAAUUCUUGUGUCGGAGUGAAGUCCGUAGAUAUAAGAAGGAACACCAAUGGCGUAGGCAGGUUACUGGACCAUUUCUGACGCUAAGGCACGAA